UGCCGUUGGGCUGACGGUGACAGGACAGUGUUGGAGCUUUGUCUUGCAACGUUAACCUGAGGCACC
ensembl:miRNA